UCUAAGUCAUUUGUUUCAUUAUUUAUUCAAAUCACUGUAGCCAUCCACUUAUAUAAGCAUGCACUGGUUUGAUAGUAGAAGACACUGUAAUCAACGGCUGAGAUCAUUUUAGUCAAUGUUAGUGGAAUUCCCACUAGUGCUGAGUGGAAUUUCCACUAGUACUGCUAUAUUAGGGUAAGAGUGUAAGACACUGAACUCCUAAUUCCCCUCCCAUUCCACGACAGCUGCUGAAAUUUCCAAAAAAAACAGCCAGCGAAUUGAAGGGGAGAAGCUGGAUAAGGCUGCUGGCUGACGGUGGGAGAGCAAAGGGCUGCAGGUAGUGUGCUGUGGUGUGGGUAAACUGUGGGUUAACGUGCUCCUGUGCACAGGUAAUGAAAAUAUAUCUAUAUACAUAGUUGGGAACUUGUGUACGAUUCCAAAAAUCUGAAAGAACUAAUAGCUAUCUUCUCAGAUUUUGGUUUUUAAAAUGGGUAGGAUGUUGAUAGAAAUGGCAUUUUUGUUAAAUAGGGUGUACAGAAUUUUAUGUGGAAAAUUUAGUGUGGAAAAAUCUGGUAAGGGGUUUGCUGGAAUGCAAUAUUUUAGCAAAGAAAUUAUGAAGGCCGAAUGUUGCUUUUGCUGAAAUAUUUUUUGUGUGCUGAAACCAGUUUGCUGACUUCAGUAGAGGAAAAUUUGUUAGUUGAAUGAGGAAGAGUGUUUUUGAGGUAAGCAUGUUUCUUUAUAUAGCUUGAAUUUGUGGUUAGCUUGACAUUGUGGUUGAAGGUAUAUAUAAAAAGUAAAUGCUUAUGCUUAGGUUGUUUAUAAGCGAAAAAGAGACCGGGGUUUCGGAGAGCAUCACCCAAAUAUUCUGGAGGAUGAGGCAAGGGAAAGGAGCCCGUAGGGCACUAGGCGAUAAAGAGGUGAUCGUUCGUUUUUGAUGUAAAUAUGUUUUGGUGUACAAAGAGAUCUUAGAGGAGAUCUUAGAUAGCUAUAUAAACCUUUUUGUAUUUGGUGUUAGAGGGUGAGCCAAACUGGGGUGUGACACC